rnacentral:lncRNA from 1 species
GCCACAAAGCUUAAGCCAUCCUUGAAGGGAGAAGGUGGCAGCUUGACUGAGCUGUGAGCUGAGAGGAAGCAGUCGCUGGUUCCCAGUAGAAGUCCAAAGGGCUAUGGUGGCGACUCGGAUGUUGAAACAACAGCAUGUCUGUCUGACCGGCGCUGCACGGGAGGCCAUGGUGCGCAGUCCCCUCUUCGGAGGCUCUGAGUAAGGAGUCUUGGGCCCACAGCAGAACAAAAAAGAGGAAGCCACAGGCUGCCUGCCUCACUUCCGCCUUGCCCUCAGACGGUAGGGAUGCUAAUAUUAUAGAACCCACAGUCCCUGCACAGGCUCCACGGAACCAUACUCCAUAUCGAUACGCAUGGAGCCCUCAACUUCCUGGUGGUGACUGUGGUUGGACCAAGAUGGCCCAGGACAACCCUCACUUCCUAGGUCAUCAGCAGGCAGUGUAGAGGACAUGGCUGCCCAGAAGACUCAGGUAUAACACACACUCUUAUGUUGAGACCUCCAUGGGCCCUGCAGACAGGAGGCCUCAGAAUCACUACCCCACAGUCGGCAGAGACUCUGUUGCUUUCCACGAGCAUCGCUCCGCUAACCGUUGGCCGAUCCCCUCCCCCCCAGAGAGGCAGCCACAGUGAUGGAGGAGCGGCCUUUUUGGAAUCAUGAGGACAAAAGCUAUGUAUGCCAACUGGAGGGAAGAGACAGAAAGAGCCCAGGUCCCCAGUGACAGCACAGAGCCUGCCUCAGAUCUGGAGUUUCCUUCCCUGAAUAUUUUAUACUGUGGGAAAAAAAAAAAAAGAGACCGCAGACACGGUGUGACCAGAGAUCUCACAGGCUGUUGGCUGCCCCCCACAACUUCCCUGUCAUGACAGACAGUACCCUCAAGCCAGGAACCCAGACGAACCCUUCUUCCCUUAAGUUGCUUUGCUCGGUGUUCGCUUUUG